rnacentral:rRNA from 1 species
UACAGAGGGUGCAAGCGUUAAUCGGAAUUACUGGGCGUAAAGCGUGCGUAGACGGUUAUGUAAGUCAGGUGUGAAAGCCCCGGGCUCAACCUGGGAAUGCCAUUUGAGACUGCAUAGCUAGGGUACGGAAGAGGGAAGCGGAAGUUUCAGGUGUAGCGGUGAAAUGCGUAGAUAUCUGAAGGAACACCAGUGGCGAAAGCGGCUUCCUGGUCCGUACCGACGUCAGGCACGAAAGCGUGGGGAGCAAACAGG